GAAAACUGAGCCGCAAAGCAGUGGUGGGACUUGACUGAAGCUACAGAAACUGAAAACGGCAGAGAGCCCUGGGAAGCUUCCACCACCAUGCAGGUGAGGAGCCCGAGGCCCCAAGAUGCCAUAUGACUCACUCAAGGUCAUCCUGCCAUGCUAGAGGGUGGUCCCCAGGAAUAAAGGAAGUUCCAGGUUUCCUGCCCCACCCAAAGGAUGGUGGAGCUGAACAAAGAGAAGAAGCUGCAGAGGAGACUGAGGAAAGAAAGAAGAAGGAUGGAGAGCCAGAAGGAGGCCUGGAGGAGGCACAUGGAGCAGAGAGACACGUGAAGAAACUGCGCUUGCCUUUUGGUUGUGGACUGGGUGACACAGAUGUGGGUGAGAGACCUGGGGGGAGGUGACAAUGGUAGUUUUUACCUUCAUUUUGAUUUUGCUCUUUUCCUUCCAGACUUGUCUGGUUGUUUCUGAUCCUUUUCUGUGGGUCCCCACUGAAAGGUGCUUUAGACUUGGGGUAGGCUUUCGGGCCUUGCUCUGGGCCAAUCUUGUUUGUGUGGACUUUUACCCACGAGCGGACGGGUAACUUUGUGUGCCUGAUUUAGAAACUAUA